AUUUUUCAGUUUUGUUUUAAGAGCUUUUAAAGAAAGGAGUUGCCUCAGCAGCUUGAGAGCGAGAUAUGAUGCGCCUUCAAGAGUCCAGAAAAAGACGGCCCAGAGACUCGACAGCAAUUCCACUUCCCAGUGUGGCGCUUCUACCUUGGCUGAAGAAUCAAAGGCCGUCCAUGACAGACCCCAGGUUGUUUCUUUGAGAUUUUGAUCAAGGGAUGCCGCUUACUGUUGCUUCCCGCUGCUGGCCUCUCCCUCUGCUGGCCUCUAAGGAGACAA